rnacentral:rRNA from 1 species
AUGAACGCUGGCGGCGUGCUUAACACAUGCAAGUCGAACGAAGCACUUUAACCUGAUUCUUCGGAUGACGGUUUUUGUGACUGAGUGGCGGACGGGUGAGUAACGCGUGGGUAACCUGCCUCAUACAGGGGGAUAACAGUUAGAAAUGACUGCUAAUACCGCAUAAGACCACAGAGCCGCAUGGCUCGGUGGGAAAAACUCCGGUGGUAUGAGAUGGACCCGCGUCUGAUUAGGUAGUUGGUGGGGUAACGGCCUACCAAGCCAACGAUCAGUAGCCGACCUGAGAGGGUGACCGGCCACAUUGGGACUGAGACACGGCCCAAACUCCUACGGGAAGCAGCAGUGGGGAAUAUUGCACAAUGGGGGAAACCCUGAUGCAGCGACGCCGCGUGAGCGAAGAAGUAUUUCGGUAUGUAAAGCUCUAUCAGCAGGGAAGAAAAUGACGGUACCUGACUAAGAAGCACCGGCUAAAUACGUG